CAGCUAUACUGGCUUUGUAUCACAUUUCUUGCUUUCGAUGUGAUCUUUGUAAUUAUCUGUGUUGCUGUUGCAUCUCUCAUUGGUAUUGCUAUUUGCUUCUGCCUUCCAUGUAUAAUUGGAAUCUUAUAUGCCAUGACAGAUAGGGAAGGAGCAACAAAAGAAGAGAUUGAUCAAUUGCCUAAGUACAAGUUCCACAGGAAGGGAAAUUUUGAGAACGUUAAUGGUGAGAUUCAAGCAUCUUUUGG
rnacentral:misc_RNA from 1 species